UUACCAGUCAGGCUCUGGCCAUAUUCCAGGACAGAAUGGGUCCUGGGUUUGACUAAAGCCUGACUGUACA
rfam:Neotoma lepida isolate 417 scaffold_21975, whole genome shotgun sequence.